AAAAUUUGUUUUUGUGAAUUUCCACGGUUUAAAGACAAAUUUCUCAUGCUCUGCAUUCAAUUAUACUCUCUGAGGAAUUAUCUGUGACUUCGAAUUUGUAACCCAGGAUCUUGUGUUUCGUUCCUUCUCCGUGCUACUUCCGGUGCUCAUAAGUAAUUUUAGUCGAGUUUCUUUUACAGUGGAUUCAUAAAUCCAGAACCAUUGGUGUUGCUGGUUGAUAUACAAUAAACAAAAUCCAAUAAAGCAAAUCGGGUCGUUGGCAUCUUCUCCCACCUCUCGAUGCACGAGACUCCACCAGUGAACCAAAAUCGGGUGACAUCUUGAUCUUGUGGUUUCUGCUCCGGCGGGCGUAAAAAAUCCUAAUCACAUCUCAACCGCAACCAUAUCAACGUUGCCUCCUCCAGCUGCUUCGGCGCGUUAUCGAUCAACAUAGCUUAGCUUCACCUUGCUUCCCUCCAUUCAUUAGAUAAGAAUCAGCGAUCGGUUUUACGAUUCGAUCACAAUUGAUCUAGUUUCAGAUAUCCGAUCGAUGUGUAUGUGCGAUAAACUGAUCUCGAUUAAGUCAAACGAAGCCUGUAACUGAAACUAUAAUCUGUAAUAUUCCAGGAAAAGCCAAGUGACAUAUCUGAAGAAGGAGUCGAUGAUUCAAAGCGGCAUUGACGUCUCGUCUGUAUUUGGAGAAAUGGUCAUGUGCUCAAGAAGAUGUGUUAUCAUUUACCUUUAUGCCAAGGGUAAUCCGGACGAUCUAUUUUCUCCAAAGCGAUUGCAAAGAUGAGGACCCUAUGAUCCGUGGGCUGGCUUGCUUCUGACGAGUUUGUGUUCCUUACAGUGUUGAGUAUCUGCUUGGAGAGUGGGCUCAAGGACAAUAACAGCUAACAAUUGCUGUAACUGGAUUACUGAAGCUUUAUCAUAUCUCGACCUCGACAUGCAUCGAUGCUGAGUUUCCUGCAACUUUGAAAAGUUUGAUGCUUCAUGAUUCAGAUGCCCAGGUAGUUGCCAAUUGCCUGGCUGCACUUCAAGAAAUUUGGAGUUUAGAAGCAAGCCACUCUGAGGAGAAGGAAUCUUUGCUUAGCAAACCAUUUAUAUAUUAUUUCUUCAACAGGAUCAAUGAAUGGCCGCAAUGUCUUAUACUUGAGUUGGCAGUAAAGUACCUGCCGUCAGAUAGUAAUGAUAAUUUUGACAUUAUGAAUCUCUUAGAAGACAGACCUCUUCAUGCCAAUGGUGCUGUUGUCUUGGCAACAGUCCAAGUGUUUCUGCAGUUGACGCUCUCCAUCAACAGGUAUAUGAGCGUAUUAAAUCUCCACUUCUGACUCUCGUUAGUUCUGGAAGUCCGGAGCAGUCGUAUGCAAUCUUGAGCCACCUUCAUCUUUUGGUUGUCCGUGCGCCAUUCAUCUUUGCUUCAGAUUAUAAGCAUUUCUGCUGCCAGUACAAUGAACCCUUAUAUGUCAAAAAGUUGAAGCUUGAGAUGUUGACUGCUAUUGCAAAUGAAAGCAAACACUUACGAAAUUGUGACGGAACUGUGCGAGUAUGCUGCAAACGUUGAUAUUGAAAUUGCAAGGGAAUCAAUUCGGGCAGUUGGAAAGAUUGCUUUGCAGCAGUAUGAUGUGAACGCGAUUGCUUUGCAGCAGUACUGAUUUUUGGACACCGGACAAUCACUACCGGUGGUAUUCCUCAAGGUAUGGUGGACAUUUUCUCUGCAAGCGUAGAUUCUGUAUAUCAGUCACGUCUUCUGUUAUGUGGGCUGGACGUUGGAGACCUUGAGAAACUGAGAUCAAGAAAGGAGGAACUAGAAGACUCUAUAUCAUCCAUUGAAGAAACUCGCAAGAGUCUUCAAACAGAGCAAAGACUGGUGGAAGAAGAAGCAGCUAAACUUAAUAAAGAGAGGGAGUAGAUUAUUAAUGUCUCUCAUGUGGAGAAGAAUUGCACACCACCAAGGCAGUCACACUAUAAUGCAUCACCCCUUACUAGUGAUGAUAGCUGGCUCAGGACUGUAGUAUUAGCUGGUGGUGUUGCAUUGCAAUUACAAUGUGUGGUGCUCAUUAUUGAUUGUCAUCCAAAGUCAUAGAAAACUAUUAAGAGUGAGUUGUAAUCUUUAUGUAUACAUAUUGGAUUUGAAAUA